rnacentral:tRNA from 1 species
GGAGAGAUGGCUGAGCGGUCGAAGGCACCGGUUUCGAAAACCGGCAGGCUCGAAAGGGUCUCGAGGGUUCGAAUCCCUCUCUCUCCGCCA